rnacentral:rRNA from 1 species
CCUACGGGAGGCUGCAGUGGGGAAUAUUGCACAAUGGGGGAAACCCUGAAGCAGCCAAGCCGCGUGAGGGAAGACGGUCUUAGGAUUGGUAACUUCCGUUCUUAGUGAAGCAUAAUGACGGUAGCUAGGGCGCAAGCCAAGGGUAAAUACGUGCAAGCAGCGGCGGUAAUACGUAGGUGGCAGGCGUUGUACGGAAUUACUGGGUGUAAAGGGUGCGCAGGCGGGAAGUCUAGUCAGCUGUGAAAACUACGGGCUUAACUUGGAGACUGCAGUUGAAACUGGGUUUCGUGAGUGAAGUAGAGGUAGGCGGAAUGCGGGGUGUAGCGGUGAAAUGCGUAGAUA